rnacentral:tRNA from 1 species
UCUCUGGUGGUACAGUGGCUAAGACUCUGAGCUGCCAAUGCAGGGGGCCAGGGUUCGAUCCCUGGCCAGGGAG